rnacentral:rRNA from 1 species
UACGUAGGGGGCGAGCGUUGCCCGAAUUUACUGGGCGUAAAGCGCACGUAGGCGGCUUCGUAAGUCUGGUGUGAAAUCUCACGGCUCAACCGGGAGGCUGCACCAGAUACUGCGGAGCUCGAGGACGGGAGAGGAGAUCGGAAUUCCCGGUGUAGCGGUGAAAUGCAUUGAUAUCGGGAGGAACACCAGUGGCGAAGGCUGAUCUCUGGCCCGUUGCUGACGCUGAGGUGCGAAAGCUGGGGGAGCGAAAGGG